UUGUACUGGCUUGUGCUUCCCCUGCGCUCAGCUGCUCCAGGGUAGUGUGGCAGCACACACAGCAAUGCCCCUCUCUGUUUAGCAAGGUCACCCUGAGAAUAUCAUUCUGAGAAUAGGGCUGGCUCCUAUAGGCACAAGAAGAUAAC